rnacentral:rRNA from 1 species
GACAGAGGGUGCAAACGUUGUUCGGAAUUACUGGGCGUAAAGCGAGUGUAGGCGGUCUCGUAAGUCGGGUGUGAAAGCCCUGGGCUCAACCCCAGGAAGUGCACUCGAAACUGCGAGGCUAGAGUACUGGAGAGGUUGGUGGAAUUCUCGGUGUAGAGGUGAAAUUCGUAGAUAUCGAGAGGAACACCGGUGGCGGAAGGCGGCCAACUGGACAGAUACUGACGCUGAGGAGCGAAAGCAUGGGGAGCGAACAGG